rnacentral:lncRNA from 1 species
AUUAUAAGCCUUGAAACAGAGGAUCGCAAUCGCGAUCCCUGUUCGAGCUUCUGUGCGGGGUUAACGGCCAUGGAGCCAUGGCCAGUGUGUAUGCUGUGGUCCGAUACGCCGAUUGCCGGUCGUUGAGCUGCUUCCAGCUACCGAAUAGCCUCUUUAUUCACUGUUGUGCCAACCUUAUCUCCGUUCAAAUUCCUUCCUUCAUCUCUCUCUAAAAUCACCCUCAACCCUGCGAUUGAGUACCAUCGAGCCUUUCUUCCUCCUCUCCGGUGAAUGUUGUGCCACCACGGCUGAGCGCUACCACCCAACACACUCCUUCUCCCCCAUUUGCUCCAACUUUUGUUUUACCCUAUUUUGAGACUUAUCGCCAC